rnacentral:rRNA from 3 species
GGUUAAGCGACUAAGCGUACACGGUGGAUGCCCUGGCAGUCAGAGGCGAUGAAGGACGUGCUAAUCUGCGAAAAGCGUCGGUAAGGUGAUAUGAACCGUUACAGCCGGCGAUGUCCGAAUGGGGAAACCCAGUGCAAUUCGUUGCACUAUCGUUAACUGAAUACAUAGGUUAACGAGGCGAACCGGGGGAACUGAAACAUCUAAGUACCCCGAGGAAAAGAAAUCAACCGAGAUUCCCCCAGUAGCGGCGAGCGAACGGGGAGCAGCCCAGAGUCUGAAUCAGCUUGUGUGUUAGUGGAACGGUCUGGAAAGUCCGACGGUACAGGGUGAUAGUCCCGUACACCAAAAUGCACAGGCUGUGAACUCGAAGAGUAGGGCGGGACACGUGGUAUCCUGUCUGAAUAUGGGGGGACCAUCCUCCAAGGCUAAAUACUCCUGACUGACCGAUAGUGAACCAGUACCGUGAGGGAAAGGCGAAAAGAACCCCGGCGAGGGGAGUGAAAAAGAACCUGAAACCGUGUACGUACAAGCAGUGGGAGCACCUUCGGGUGUGACUGCGUACCUUUUGUAUAAUGGGUCAGCGACUUAUAUUCUGUAGCAAGGUUAACCGUAUAGGGGAGCCGCAGGGAAACCGAGUCUUAACUGGGCGUUAAGUUGCAGGGUAUAGACCCGAAACCCGGUGAUCUAGCCAUGGGCAGGUUGAAGGUUGGGUAACACUAACUGGAGGACCGAACCGACUAAUGUUGAAAAAUUAGCGGAUGACUUGUGGCUGGGGGUGAAAGGCCAAUCAAACCGGGAGAUAGCUGGUUCUCCCCGAAAGCUAUUUAGGUAGCGCCUCGUGAAUUCAUCUUCGGGGGUAGAGCACUGUUUCGGCUAGGGGGUCAUCCCGACUUACCAACCCGAUGCAAACUACGAAUACCGAAGAAUGUUAUCACGGGAGACACACGGCGGGUGCUAACGUCCGUCGUGAAGAGGGAAACAACCCAGACCGCCAGCUAAGGUCCCAAAGUCAUGGUUAAGUGGGAAACGAUGUGGGAAGGCACAGACAGCCAGGAUGUUGGCUUAGAAGCAGCCAUCAUUUAAAGAAAGCGUAAUAGCUCACUGGUCGAGUCGGCCUGCGCGGAAGAUGUAACGGGGCUAAACCAUGCACCGAAGCUGCGGCAGCGACACUAUGUGUUGUUGGGUAGGGGAGCGUUCUGUAAGCCUGCGAAGGUGACCUGUGAGGGUUGCUGGAGGUAUCAGAAGUGCGAAUGCUGACAUAAGUAACGAUAAAGCGGGUGAAAAGCCCGCUCGCCGGAAGACCAAGGGUUCCUGUCCAACGUUAAUCGGGGCAGGGUGAGUCGACCCCUAAGGCGAGGCCGAAAGGCGUAGUCGAUGGGAAACAGGUUAAUAUUCCUGUACUUGGUGUUACUGCGAAGGGGGGACGGAGAAGGCUAUGUUAGCCGGGCGACGGUUGUCCCGGUUUAAGCAUGUAGGCUGGUUAUCCAGGCAAAUCCGGAUAAUCAAGGCUGAGGUGUGAUGACGAGGCACUACGGUGCUGAAGUAACAAAUGCCCUGCUUCCAGGAAAAGCCUCUAAGCAUCAGGUAACAUCAAAUCGUACCCCAAACCGACACAGGUGGUCAGGUAGAGAAUACCAAGGCGCUUGAGAGAACUCGGGUGAAGGAACUAGGCAAAAUGGUGCCGUAACUUCGGGAGAAGGCACGCUGGUGUGUAGGUGAAGUCCCUGCGGAUGGAGCUGAGACCAGUCGAAGAUACCAGCUGGCUGCAACUGUUUAUUAAAAACACAGCACUGUGCAAACACGAAAGUGGACGUAUACGGUGUGACGCCUGCCCGGUGCCGGAAGGUUAAUUGAUGGGGUUAUCCGUAAGGAGAAGCUCUUGAUCGAAGCCCCGGUAAACGGCGGCCGUAACUAUAACGGUCCUAAGGUAGCGAAAUUCCUUGUCGGGUAAGUUCCGACCUGCACGAAUGGCGUAAUGAUGGCCAGGCUGUCUCCACCCGAGACUCAGUGAAAUUGAACUCGCUGUGAAGAUGCAGUGUACCCGCGGCAAGACGGAAAGACCCCGUGAACCUUUACUAUAGCUUGACACUGAACAUUGAGCCUUGAUGUGUAGGAUAGGUGGGAGGCUUUGAAGCGUGGACGCCAGUCUGCGUGGAGCCAACCUUGAAAUACCACCCUUUAAUGUUUGAUGUUCUAACGUUGGCCCCUUACCGGGGUUGCGGACAGUGUCUGGUGGGUAGUUUGACUGGGGCGGUCUCCUCCCAAAGCGUAACGGAGGAGCACGAAGGUUAGCUAAUCCUGGUCGGACAUCAGGAGGUUAGUGCAAUGGCAUAAGCUAGCUUGACUGCGAGCGUGACGGCGCGAGCAGGUGCGAAAGCAGGUCAUAGUGAUCCGGUGGUUCUGAAUGGAAGGGCCAUCGCUCAACGGAUAAAAGGUACUCCGGGGAUAACAGGCUGAUACCGCCCAAGAGUUCAUAUCGACGGCGGUGUUUGGCACCUCGAUGUCGGCUCAUCACAUCCUGGGGCUGAAGUAGGUCCCAAGGGUAUGGCUGUUCGCCAUUUAAAGUGGUACGCGAGCUGGGUUUAGAACGUCGUGAGACAGUUCGGUCCCUAUCUGCCGUGGGCGCUGGAGAAUUGAGGGGGGCUGCUCCUAGUACGAGAGGACCGGAGUGGACGCAUCACUGGUGUUCGGGUUGUCAUGCCAAUGGCACUGCCCGGUAGCUAAAUGCGGAAGAGAUAAGUGCUGAAAGCAUCUAAGCACGAAACUUGCCCCGAGAUGAGUUCUCCCUGAGACUUUAAGUCUCCUGAAGGAACGUUAAAGACGAUGACGUUGAUAGGCCGGGUGUGUAAGCGCAGCGAUGCGUUGAGCUAACCGGUACUAAUGAACCGUGAGGCUUAACCUU